AGGAGCAUGCUUCUCACAAACAUGGUAUUGCCCUUGAUGCAUCUCGGUCUUAAAAAAUAAAUUUCUGCUUUUGCAAUUUGCAUUCAGAAUUAUUUAUAUAUGUAGUAUAUAAUUUUGUUUUCUUUUGUGGCAGUAUUGGUUAUUGUAACACUUCUGGCAUUAUUUUUCCAUGGGCUGCAUUUUAUAAUCGUGAUUUAUUUGAAGUUAAAAUAACAAUUUGGUUUGAAGGUAGGAAAUCUAAAUUUAGUUGCGGCUGAUAAGAACAACUCAAAUUGCUCUGAUAAGCACAACUCAAAUUGCUACUUAAAUUGUUGUUUUAUGUUUCUUUACCAACUUGGUUGUUAAUAAAAUUGAGUUUCUUCUCAUAGUUUUUGUCAUAUUGGCAAAGAACUAUUGAUAUGUUCUAUUUGAACUAAUAUAAGUAAUAGUGGAUUGACUUUUGGACUGUAUAGUUAGGUACAACUCCACAUGUAUAUAGUCAAUAAUCAGCAUGAACUUGGGUUUGAUAAAAUCGUAUUAUGUGUGGUCAUGAUUUCUUUGAUGGUAAAAUAAAAAUUUGGUAUGAAGGAUAAGAAAUCUGAAGUUAAAAGGUUUUGAUACUUAUAACUCUAAUUGUUAUAAACAAUUUUGGAUAAAUAUCCUGGUAUCAAAUUCUUUUUACAUUUUUUUCCCCGCAAAAUUGAGCUUCUUCUCAUAGUCUUUGUGAGUUUGGAAAAGAACUGUUGAUAUGUUUUUUAUGUGAUGGUAUAUGUGAAUUACUAUUAAUGAUUGGGAAUUGCAUUUUUUGGACUACAUGGUUAACCCCAAAUUUGUUAAGUCAAAAGUUCACAAAGGGCUUGAAUUGUGAUAAAUGAAGGGUAGGAAAUUUGAAUUUAAAGCAUUUGACAGUCACAACUAAAUUUGCUACUAAAAUAUUUUGGAUUUAUAUUUUAGUUUCUACUUGCUCGCUUGCAAAAUUGAGCUACUUCUCAAUAUUUCUAUCUCAUUAGAAAAAAAACAAAGUAUUGAUAUGGUUUCUGUUAACUGCUUUUGGCAAUUGGGGGUUGAUUAUGUCCAACUCCUCACCAGUUAAGUCAAACCCCAACGGUCUUAGUUCAUAAUGUAAUGGUCUUAGGGAAAACACUAGUUUGAAGUGUGGAACCAAGUGCUAUACUGUGGGAAGUUUUGGGGGAACCAACCACCUGUAGAAUUUUCAUCAUCUAGUGAAUUAAGAUUUUUGCUGCGGCUUGACAUUGAUGAGGUUGUCAAGGAUCUAAGUGGGGAAGAAUGUGAUGCUCCAAGUCUGAUAUUGGAAAUUGACUAUUGAUAUCCUCUAUGUAUAAUGGCCUAUAUGACCUAAUGCUACUACUAUCAAUGGGGAUUGACUUUUAGGCAAUGCUGUUGAGCCCAAUCUCAUUCCAAUUUUUAGGCCAAAAGUCUUUUUGGGCCAUGAUCACAAUUCAUAGGUUUUAAGAUUAAAGGCAUGGAAAUCAGUUAAAACAGCAUGCAAAAUGUCUGCAACUUUACAAAUCACAAAAGCAAGUUAAUGGCAUUAUCUAAUACAGCAUAUAUGAAGAUAAACUUAUCAUGAAUACAAAGUCAAUCUCCCUAUGUUGUGGUUAAUGUCACUGUUGUUAGAAUCUUACGUUCUCGAUUCGAUUCGUAUGAUUCGAUUUGAUUUUCCUUCUUAGUGAUUCGAAUUUGUAGAGUGAGUCGCAAAUAUACUUGAAUUGUGGCUGAAUCUUAUGAUUUAAUAGUGAAUCGGGUGAAUCGAUACGAAUCAACCGAUUCAGUUGAUUUUUUUUUCUUAAUGGUUGUUAGACCCUAUACUUUCAAAAUUUAAGAUUUCACUUUUUUUUUAUUAUGAGAAGUGCACAUAAAACCUUCUCCUACGCUUUUU
rnacentral:misc_RNA from 1 species